AAAGGUAAGCUAUUAAGAGCGAAUGGUGGAUGCCUUGACUGGUAAAGGCGAUGAAGGACGUACUAGACUGCGAUAAGCUACGGGGAGCUGUCAAGAAGCUUUGAUCCGUAGAUUUCCGAAUGGGGCAACCCAAUGUAUAGAGAUAUACAUUACCUAUAUAGGAGCGAACGAGGGGAAUUGAAACAUCUUAGUACCCUCAGGAAAAGAAAUCAAUAGAGAUUGCGUCAGUAGCGGCGAGCGAAAGCGCAAGAGGGCAAACCCAGUGCUUGCACUGGGGGUUGUAGGACUGCAAUGUGCAAGAGGUAAGUUUAGCAGAACAUUCUGGAAAGUAUAACCAUAGAGGGUGAUAGUCCCGUAUGCGAAAAACAAACCUUAGCUAGCAGUAUCCUGAGUAGGGCGGGACACGAGGAAUCCUGUCUGAAUCCGGGUCGACCACGAUCCAACCCUAAAUACUAAUACCAGAUCGAUAGUGCACAAGUACCGUGAGGGAAAGGUGAAAAGAACUGAGGUGAUCAGAGUGAAAUAGAACCUGAAACCAUUUGCUUACAAUCAUUCAGAGCCCUAUGUAGCAAUACAGGGUGAUGGACUGCCUUUUGCAUAAUGAGCCUGCGAGUUGUGGUGUCUGGCAAGGUUAAGCAAACGCGAAGCCGUAGCGAAAGCGAGUCUGAAUAGGGCGCUUAGUCAGAUGCUGCAGACCCGAAACGAAGUGAUCUAUCCAUGAGCAAGUUGAAGCUAGUGUAAGAACUAGUGGAGGACUGAACCCAUAGGCGUUGAAAAGCCCCGGGAUG
rnacentral:rRNA from 1 species